UACGGAGGAUUCGAGCGUUAUCCGGAUUUAUUGGGUUUAAAGGGUCCGUAGGCGGGCGAUUAAGUCAGUGGUGAAAUCUCUCAGCUCAACUGAGAAACUGCCAUUGAUACUGAUUGUCUUGAAUUUGGUUGAGGUAGGCGGAAUACGAUAUGUAGCGGUGAAAUGCAUAGAUAUAUCGUAGAACACCAAUUGCGAAGGCAGCUUACUAAGCCACGAUUGACGCUGAUGGACGAAAGCGUGGGGAGCGAACAGG
rnacentral:rRNA from 1 species